UCGCAGGUCUUCUCCAAAUCUAUCUAUUCCCAAUUUCUCGACGCUUUCUUCCCUUCUCCUCCCCGCCGAUGUCUUCCGCCGGUAGCCAUGGAGGUGGUGCCGCCGCCGACUCUGAGUACCAGAACUACUACUGCCACCGGUGCCAGCGUACUGUCGCCCUUCCCACUGCUGCCUUCGAGAUCGUCUGCCCCGUCUGCCACGAUGGCUUCCUCGAAGAGGUAGAAUCCCCUAACCCUAGUCCCAGCCCAAAUACCUUCUCUUACGACUCCUCUGGAAAUCCUGUUCUCCUCCAGCCCUUUGGCCCCUCGUUCUUCUUCUCCUCCUCUUCCUCUUCCCCCGCCCCCGCUAGCUUAGACCUCAGGAACCCUGCUGACCUUGCAGAUCUCCUCGGCCCUGACCUUUUUGUCUCCCGCUCUGGACCUGGCGGCCCCACUAGUGCUACUAGCGCGGUUCCCUUCAAUCCGAUGAUCUUCCUUCAGGAUUACCUCCAGCAAUUAAUGUCCGGAGGUGCCAAUAUCCAAGUCGUAGUUGAGGGCGGACCUGGCGGCGGUAUUGGGAACCUAGGGGAUUACUUUAUUGGCCCUGGCCUUGAGCAGCUUAUACAACAGCUCACUGAGAAUGAUCCCAAUCGUUAUGGCACCCCACCUGCUGCCAAGUCUGUUGUUGCAAACCUUCCAGACAUCAAAAUUAGCCUAGAAUUGCUUGCCUCUGAUGAAGCUCAGUGCUCUGUCUGUAUGGAUACUUUCGAAAUGGGAAACGAGGCCAAGCAGAUGCCAUGCAAGCAUAUCUUUCACAAAAACUGCAUCUUGCCAUGGCUAGAGUUGCAUAAUUCAUGCCCAGUCUGUCGCUAUGAGCUUCCCACUGAUGAUCUUGACUAUGAGCAACGCAGGGGGACACCAGCAGUCCCUUCACCACGGACAACUGCUGGAACAAGGGAUUCUAGUGGUGUUGGGGCAGCAGCUGGAGCCUUCACUGAAGGGGAUUCUGGUAGCCCUAGAAUGAUUGAGAGAAGGUUUAGGAUUUCACUACCAUGGCCAUUUAGAAUGUUUGAGGCGCAAGCAGAAGGUAGCAAUGCUGGUAGUGGAGGAAAUGACGGGAACAACAGCACCAAUCCACAUCCUGAUCGGCAAGAAGAUGGACGCUAAAUAUCCAUCAGAAGAUUUGAUUUGAGGAGGUAAGGUAUAAAGAGCUACAACCAUUGCCCCCGGGCAAUGGUACAGUGGCAGGACACUUUCUCAGUUUCUUGGCAUCUAAGGAUCGAGUCCAAGCUUUGGCGAAUUAAUUGAUAAAUUUCCUUGAAUGAGCGAUUGACCUAAGAAGGCUGGGCUGAUGGGCCGUUCACUAUGAGUGCUUUCGGAUUUAUCCUAGUGGUGGUGGGAAAUUUCUGUGGAACGAGAUCGGUCACUCUCAGCAUUAGUCGGCGUAAGUUGGAUAACGGAUUCCAACUAAAAAAAAAUUAAAGCUACAGCCAUUGGUCUCGGACAUUAAUGAGAUGAACCCUGAUGCUUUGUUGUACAAGCAACAAUUCAAGAUUCGCAGCUAUGGCAACAUGAGUCUUCUGGUUACAGUUACAUAAGCAAUUUUUAACUUUGUUCGGAUUUAUUCAUAUUUUUGCAUUCUGUUUUAUGAUUAUCUAAAGUCUAAACUGGUGGGGAUUAAUUUGUAUACUUCUGAAUGGGCCCAAAAAAUAGAUUGGAUUUGUAAUGUGCUCUUCUUUUUUGCUUUUA